UGGGGAAUUUUGGACAAUGGGCGCAAGCCUGAUCCAGCCAUGCCGCGUGAGUGAAGAAGGCCUUCGGGUUGUAAAGCUCUUUCGCAAGGGAAGAAAACGU
rnacentral:rRNA from 1 species